CCAGUCAAGUGGUUGUAGAUCAUAGACAACACCAUACCUGUACAUUUUAACAUAUUGUCGAAUACCUGAGAAAUAAAAUUAUUUAUUAAAGUGAUCCAUUUAUUCUAAGUUUCUUCUUUCAUAAUUAUAUUCAGAAGGCCCGUGGACAUGAAAUAGUAGCGAAAAUAAAUUAAGAAUAAUAAAUGAUAGCUGAGUCAUUGAACUUAUGACUAAUAUUUAAAAUAACCUUCAUCAAUCAUUACACAUUUUGGGUUACAUUUUCGUAAUGCUUCUUUAUGUUGGAGCAUGUGUGGGUAUCCAAUUUUGAACACCACGUCGUCUACACUCAGUACUCAAAUAUAUCACCCACUGCAUGUUAGAAAAUCCAACACGCGUAACGGAUCGGUGUAUAGAAUAAAAGAAAGAUCAAAGUAACUCUACAAUGGUCUAAAUGACUAAUAAAUGUUUUGUCGUAUAUGGACUUAUGAGUAAGCUUGUGGGUUUCUACAACGAUGUAGAAAAAAAUAAUAACACUGUAACAAAACCGUGUAAACUGGCAUCGAACACGGGAUCGAGUGUAAAAUGGAUUGAAUCGUUUAUUUAUUUUUCCAAUCUUUCUUCCUACGGACCAAGACUAUACAUUGAGAACAAAGGUAUUUCACAAUGUCUUCAGCUGUUUAUUUGUUUUUUGUCGUAACAAAGAUGUGAAUUCUGUGGUACGCUAUAAUAAUUAUGUAAAAUAUAAUUUAAUCAACUUUUAAUGAUAUAAUAUACAUUAUGUAUAUAUGUAUACGUGACCGAGCAAUAAUAUAUAAUAUUGGCUAAAUUAAUUUCAGCCGCUGAGAAAAU